GGGUCAGAGAGGCCCCAGGGACCUUUGUGCUGUCGGUGCAGGGAAGGAAGUCAGGAAGCCCUUAGAAGGCUGGUUGCUCCACGUCUUGACUCUCAGUUGUUGGAGAAGUGCUUCUCAGUUGGAUGGAUAGGCCAGCCCCUGCCCCCCACUCCCUGCACCUCAUUUGGUCAUCAGGACCACUGGGGGCUGCUGCUAGCGUUUACUGGGCAGGGACCAAGCAUGCCUCAUCCAGUCCAGCCCUGUGGGACCAGGACUUGUUCUGCCCCAAAGGCCAACAGGGCCCCUGUGAAGAAGCGCUCAUAGAUCAGUGCUUUUCGCCAGUGGUGUUUUUAAAGUAAGGCGAUCCUAUUUUCGAAUGAUGUGGCUUGUGGGAACUCAGCAGAUAAGACAGAGGGCAAGACUGGGACUCAGAGGGAUUAAAUCAUUGCCAAAAGCCACACAGCUGAUAAGACACCUGAGGCUGGAGUGGGGAGUUCCACAGGGUCUGGACCCUCCUCAAUGCAGAUUGUGACUACAGUGAUGGGGAGGAGACCAGGGCAACUCAACCCCAAAGCAAAUGCUGGUCCAAGGAUGCUGAUUACAAAGGGUCUUAGUUGUGUUUUUAU
ensembl:lncRNA